rnacentral:rRNA from 1 species
GACGAACCGAGCGAACGUUGUUCGGAAUCACUGGGCUUAAAGGGCGCGUAGGCGGGGUUGCAAGUCCGGGGUGAAAUCCCACAGCUCAACUGUGGAACUGCCUCGGAUACUGUGAGUCUCGAGGGUGGCAGGGGUAUGCGGAACUGUCGGUGGAGCGGUGAAAUGCGUUGAUAUCGAUAGGAACUCCGGUGGCGAAGGCGGCAUACUGGUCCACUUCUGACGCUGAGGCGCGAAAGCCAGGGGAGCAAACGGG